ACGCUCGACACCUACGGGAGUCAGCAGUGGGGAAUAUUGCACAAUGGGGGAAACCCUGAUGCAGCGACGCCGCGUGGAGGAAGAAGGUCUUCGGAUUGUAAACUCCUGUUGUUGGGGAAAAAGAGGAUGGUACCCAACAAGGAAGUGACGGCUAACUACGUGCCAGCAGCAGCGGUAAUCUGAGCGGGCUGGCAAGGC
rnacentral:rRNA from 1 species